rnacentral:tRNA from 1 species
GAGGUAUUAGUUAACCUAUAACAUCACCUUGUCAAGGUGAAAUGAUGGAUUAGCCUCCAUAUACCUUU